ensembl:lncRNA
AAGGCGGGCCUCUGCGGGUGACAACGGAGCAGAGAUGGGUGACUCUGCGCUCGCACCGGAGACAGCCUCGUCUCCAGUGGGGGUGGACACACUGCCAGCACCGCAGGCCGGACGCCAGGAUGUGCUUGGAGGGACAUGACACAGUCCGGUGUGACGGAGAGGGACAGACGUGACGCCGUCCGGCCUUCCUGAACACUCUCGGCUGGCCCCGCGGGGGAGCUGCCACACCCAGCGUCUGUUCCUUUGCCUUCCUGAAGGAGCACGUGCAUGACUGCUGCUCUCUGGACCCCAGAACCCUCAAACGACAAGGUUGAGCCAAAGGAACAGACGUCCCACACCACCGGACCAACGGCACCCGCGGGGUUCCCCACCCCCCGCCCGGCCACUCCACCUCGGCGGCCACCCCCUGCUGCGCCCUGGAGACACCACCAGCCUCCCUCUCUCCCCUUCCUCCUUUUUUUCCUCUGUCUUUUCUCUUCUCUUCUUUCCUCUCCUUUGCUCAGAAGACUCGGGGCAUCCAGGACUCUGUGUCCCCGUCCUUCCUGAAUUAAUUUGCACUAAGUCGUUUGCACUGGUUUGGAGUCCUGGAACCAGCCCCGGGUCUCGGAGCGGGUGUGUGAGCUGCCGAGUGGCCUGGCCUCCUCGGCCCGCGCCCCCUCAGCACCUGCCAUUGUCCAUCUCUGUCUGGGGGUGACUGGGUGGGGGCCUGAGUGUGUGGGGCCCCGCCCUCCCCUCUCCUAGUCUGGAAGCUCCGACCACCGAGCAGACCUCAAACGCUGCACUGAGUGUCCAUCUCGUCAUGUGCCCCUCCUCGCCAGGGCCACCCCAGAGCCCUGGACUCAUCAAUAAACUCAGUUACCGGA